UACGUAGGGGGCAAGCGUUGUCCGGAAUCAUUGGGCGUAAAGCGCGUGUAGGCGGCUCGAUAAGUCUGCUGUGAAAGUUCAGGGCUCAACCCUGAAAUGCCGGUGGAAACUGUCGGGCUAGAGUCCGGAAGAGGCGAGUGGAAUUCCUGGUGUAGCGGUGAAAUGCGUAGAUAUCAGGAGGAACACCAAUGGCGAAGGCAGCUCGCUGGGACGGUACUGACGCUGAGACGCGAAAGCGUGGGGAGCAAACAGG
rnacentral:rRNA from 1 species